rnacentral:rRNA from 1 species
GACGAACGCUGGCGGCGUGCUUAACACAUGCCAGUCGAACGGAAAGACCUCUUUCUGGGGGUACUCGCGUGGCGAACGGGUGGGUAACACAUGCGUAACCUGCCCUUGACUUUGGGUUAACUAACGUAAACAAGGCCUAAUACCGGACAGGAGCUAUAGCUAAAUGGAGGGGGUUGGAAAGUUUCGGGGGUUGGGGGUGGCCUCGCGGCUUAUCCGCUUGUUGGUGGGGUGAUGGCUUACCAAGGCUUUGCCGGGUAGCCGGCCUGAGAGGGUGAGCGGCCACCCUGAGACUGAGGUACGGCACAGACUCCGACGGGAGGCAGAAGGGGGGAAGAUUGAACAAUGGGUGGAGGCCGGAUGCAGAAACGCCGUGGGCGGGAAGACGGCCUUCGGGUUGAAAAACGCUUUCGCUCAUGACGAAGCUUUGUGUGACGGUAGUGGGUAAAGAAGCACCGGCUAACUACGUG